rnacentral:sRNA from 1 species
CUAUUUCCUUUUGCCAUGUAGUAGUUCAGCCAAAUUUUGCUCAAUCAAGUUGUUAUCUCAAGCUAAUUUUAGAGACAGGUUUGGAAAUGCAUUUAGCAGUCAAUUAUGUACUAUGCUAACACAUUGACCAAUUAAUAAAUUGUUGCCUUCUCCAACAAAUACAUGAUACAUUUGCUAUUCUAUACUUUCUCAUAGUUGCUCUGAUUUUCCAAAUGGUUUCGAUUGAGCUUCUAUCAGGUUUUCAGAAUCUUAGCCGAAACUACAAGAGAAGGCCAUCUAUGUCAUUGCUAUCAUGCAUCAUCAAGUACACCUUUUUUUGUCUUGAUCUGAUGUUUUCAUACAAAAACGAAGGAUUAUUUACAUGUCAGUGGUGAUAGCAGAACAUAUAUCAAAUCGAACCAGCGUUGGCAUAUUUGUUUAGUUUUAAUGCUGUCAAACAGAAUUUCCUCAACAUUUAUAGUCACUCUCAUCUUGGGGUUGAUCUUCUUCUUCUUCUUCUUCUUCUUAAGUUAUUUCUAGCUGGGCUUGUAAGAUGAUUUCGUGAAACUUUUUCAUGUGCGUUUAUUCAAUGGAGACAUGUUUCAAGAU